rnacentral:lncRNA from 1 species
CCUGCUGACAUUUGGAGUUCAGCAUGUAUGGCCUUUGAGCUGGCUACAGGUGACUCCUUGCUUGAACCCCUUUCAGGGAAAGAGCACACUCAAGAUGAAGAUCACAUUGCAUUGAUCACAGAACUUCUGGGGAAGGUGACUCACAAGCUCACUGUGCCAGGGAAGCAUUCCAAGGAAUUUUUCACCAAAAAUGUGACCUGAAACACAUCACAAAGCUGAAAACCUUGGGUUUUUUUGAGGUUCUACUGGAGAAGUAUGAGUGUUUCUCAGGAAGAGGCAGCUGGCUUCACAGAUUUCUUACUGCCCAUGGUGAAGCUGAUCCCUGAGAAGAGAGCCAUUUCUGCCAAGUGUCUCUGGUGCCUUUGGCUCAACUCCUAA